UACGAAGGGGGCUAGCGUUGUUCGGAAUUACUGGGCGUAAAGCGCACGUAGGCGGAUCGAUCAGUCAGGGGUGAAAUCCCAGAGCUCAACUCUGGAACUGCCUUUGAUACUGUCGGUCUAGAGUAUGGAAGAGGUGAGUGGAACUGCGAGUGUAGAGGUGAAAUUCGUAGAUAUUCGCAAGAACACCAGUGGCGAAGGCGGCUCACUGGCCCGGUACUGACGCUGAGGUGCGAAAGCGUGGGGAGCAAACAGG
rnacentral:rRNA from 1 species